UCACUCCUUGAUACGAAUGUCUUUUAUUCACUCUGUAGUUUUGGUCAGUAAACAAAUGGAGGGGAAAAAAAGACUAGACCAAUUCAGCGGGCACCUCAUAGUGCCAGGCAUGCCUACCAUGCCGGCACAUUGAUCUGCUGAUACAUAU
rnacentral:snoRNA from 1 species